GACGAACGCUGGCGGCGUGCUUAACACAUGCAAGUCGAACGAAGUGGCGAACGGGUGAGUAACGCGUAAUCAACCUGCCCUUCAGAGGGGGACAACAGCUGGAAACGACUGCUAAUCCCGCAUACUGAAGGAGGGGAUUGCGUCUGAUUAGCUGGUUGGAGGGGUAACGGCCCACCAAGGCGAUGAUCAGGAGCCGGGCUGGGAGGAUGAACGGCCAACUUGGGGCGGAGACAAGGCCCAGACUCCUACGGGAGGCAGCAAGGGUGAAUCCUCCGCAAUGGACGAAAGGCUGACGGAGCAACGCCGCGUGAGUGAUGACGGCCUUCGGGUUGUAAAGCUCUGUUAAUCGGGACGCGGUACCGGAAUAGAAAGCCACGGCUAACUACGUGCCAGCAGCCGCGGUAAUAC
rnacentral:rRNA from 1 species